AAGAGAUGGCGACCGGCGCACGGGAGAGUAACACGUAUCCAACCUGCCGAUAACUCCGGAAUAGCCUUUCGAAAGAAAGAUUAAUACCGGAUGGCAUACGAAUAUCGCAUGAUAUUUUUAUUAAAGAAUUUCGGUUAUCGAUGGGGAUGCGUUCCAUUAGUUUGUUGGCGGGGUAACGGCCCACCAAGACUACGAUGGAUAGGGGUUCUGAGAGGAAGGUCCCCCACAUUGGAACUGAGACACGGUCCAA
rnacentral:rRNA from 1 species